AUCCGUCGCCCACAGGACGUCAAGUUCCCGGGUGGCGGACAGAUCGUUGGUGGAGUAUACGUGUUGCCGCGCAGGGGCCCACGAUUGGGUGUGCGCGCGACGCGUAAAACUUCUGAACGGUCACAGCCUCGCGGAC
rfam:Hepatitis C virus genotype 3, genome